AUUGAACGCUGGCGGCAGGCUUAACACAUGCAAGUCGAGCGGGGGAGGUUACUUCGGUAACUGACCUAGCGGCGGACGGGUGAGUAAUGCUUAGGAAUCCGCCUAUUAGUGGGGGACAACAUUCCGAAAGGAACGCUAAUACCGCAUACGCCCUACGAGGGAAAGCAGGGGAUCUUCGGACCUUGCGCUAAUAGAUGAGCCUAAGUCGGAUUAGCUAGUUGGUGGGGUAAAGGCCUACCAAGGCGACGAUCUGUAGCGGGUCUGAGAGGAUGAUCCGCCACACUGGGACUGAGGCACGGCCCAGACUCCUACGGGAGGCAGCAGUGGGGAAUAUUGGACAAUGGGGGGAACCCUGAUCCAGCCAUGCCGCGUGUGUGAAGAAGGCCUUUUGGUUGUAAAGCACUUUAAGCGAGGAGGAGGCGCUCUAGGUUAAUACCCUAGAUGCGUGGACGUUACUCGCAGAAUAAGCACCGGCUAACUCUGUGCCAGCCGCCGCAGUAA
rnacentral:rRNA from 1 species